UAGGGAAUCUUCGGCAAUGGACGAAAGUCUGACCGAGCAACGCCGCGUGAGUGAAGAAGGUUUUCGGAUCGUAAAACUCUGUUGUUAGAGAAGAACAAGGACGUUAGUAACUGAACGUCCCCUGACGGUAUCUAACCAGAAAGCCACGUCUAACUACGUGCCAGCAGCCGCGGUAAUACGUAGGUGGCAAGCGUUGUCCGGAUUUAUUGGGCGUAAAGCGAGCGCAGGCGGUUUCUUAAGUCUGAUGUGAAAGCCCCCGGCUCAACCGGGGAGGGUCAUUGGAAACUGGGAGACUUGAGUGCAGAAGAGGAGAGUGGAAUUCCAUGUGUAGCGGUGAAAUGCGGAGAUAUAUGGAGGAACACCAGUGGCGAAGGCGGCUCUCUGGUCUGUAACUGACGCUGAGGCUCGAAAGCGUGGGGAGCAAACAGG
rnacentral:rRNA from 1 species